CCCGAAAACAGUGCAUACCACCAGUGUCCUCUGCUUACCCAGGAAGGCGAAAGGACUUGGUUUCUAAGGAUGCUGGCCCUCACACAAGCCUGGGGACAAGGGAGAACCCUGGUUUUCUGUACUACUGCAGUACACUACCUGAUCACCCCUGUUCACGCACCACUUCUGCUGGCAGGGAUAGGCUGAGCCAGAUACUGUGUCCACUUCCUGUGAUUCACCGGAC